rnacentral:rRNA from 1 species
AGAUUGAACGCUGGCGGCAUGCCUUACACAUGCAAGUCGAACGGUAGAGUAGCAAUACUUGAGAGUGGCGAACGGGUGAGUAACACGUGGGUGAUCUGCCCUGCACUUCGGGAUAAGCCUGGGAAACUGGGUCUAAUACCGGAUAUGACCUCCUAUCGCAUGGUGGGUGGUGGAAAGAUUUAUCGGUGCAGGAUGGGGCCCGCGGCCUAUCAGCUUGUUGGUGGGGUAAUGGCCUACCAAGGCGACGACGGGUAGCCGACCUGAGAGGGUGACCGGCCACACUGGGACUGAGACACGGCCCAGACUCCUACGGGAGGCAGCAGUGGGAAUAUUGCACAAUGGCGAAAGCCUGAUGCAGCGACGCCGCGUGAGGGAUGACGGCCUCGGUUGUAACCUCUUCAGCGAGGACGAAGCGCGAAGUGGACGGUACCGUGCAAGAAGAAGACGACCGGACUAACGUACGUGCCCGAGCCGAAGCCCGGAC